UGCUGCAAUUAAUAGAGAAAUAUAAGCUGAUGCCCAAGGGCAAGAAAUAAAAAUUAAAUUAAGAAAUUUAAAGGACUUAGCUGCAGCGAAUGCCCACAAACUUGUUUGACUUCAUCUGCUCACUGACAGGGAAACCAGGACUGAACUUGUCAGAAGGUGAGAGGAACUCGGCCAGGGCGGGGCGCGCAGUGGCCUUGAGCGAGAGUGGAGUUUGGAGAGAGGAAGAUAAAAGAAGGAGAAGCUAGAGGAACCGGCCCCGAAGCCUGGGAGACAGACAUGACAAAGGCCAAAGCCAGUGGGGUAAGAUUGCUCCGACUUUGCAACGCCGGGCGCUCGCAGCGGCAUUUGCAGGAGAGUUCUGAUCUCCCUGUUGCUCUGUAUUUGGCUUGGCAUAAAGAUAGAUCUAUGCCAUUGGAAAUGCAGCUUGAGAAACCUAAACCUAUAAAGCCAGUCACAUUUUCUCCACAGGCAUCAAAAUGAAUCCAAGCUGAUGCUAGAAUCCACUGAUGCUCUCAGAAGGAAAUGCACAGCAGAUGAACACUGAAGAGAGAGUUCAGGAAGCCUUAUGUUGUUUUGGUUCACCAACUGCCUAACUGAACAAAGAGAAAUGUGAGACCAAAAUUUCCUGAGUUAAGUUCUGUAAAUGGUGAGGCAUACCUGAUGCAUCACUCCUGGAAGCAGAAACUUGGCUACAAGUGGUAGAUGUCAGCUUUCAAUCCUCUUAUCUCACCAUAGAGAUAUUCAUCUAAAACCAACCUCAUAACUCCAUGAUAACAAAAAGGAAAAGUCAACUAUGAUAUGGAGUAAAACCUAUGCUAUGCUGUGUCAGCCAAAUUGAUUUGGUGUUAUUUAUAAAAAGUAUACACAUGCCACUGCAAGCUGACACUCAUUGUGAGUGUUUUGGUGUGUUAUCUUUAAUAAAUGCUGUGAAUAUUAAA